rnacentral:rRNA from 1 species
GUGGGGAAUCUUGCGCAAUGGGCGAAAGCCUGACGCAGCCAUGCCGCGUGUAUGAUGAAGGUCUUAGGAUUGUAAAAUUCUUUCACCGGGGACGAUAAUGACGGUACCCGGAGAAGAAGCUCCGGCUAACUUCGUGCCAGCAGCCGCGGUAAUACGAAGGGGGCUAGCGUUGCUCGGAAUUACUGGGCGUAAAGGGCGCGUAGGCGGACAGCUUAGUCAGAGGUGAAAGCCCAGGGCCCAACCUUGGAAUUGCCUUUGAUACUGGCUGUCUUGAGUUUGGGAGAGGUGAGUGGAACUCCGAGUGUAGAGGUUAAAUUCGUAGAUAUUCGGAAGAACACCAGUGGCGUAGGCGACUCACUGGCCCAAUUCUGACGCUGAGGCGCGAAAGCGUGGGGAGCAAACAGGAUUAGAAACCCGUGUAGUCC